rnacentral:rRNA from 1 species
CGAAAGGAGCCGGUUGAGGACCUAAUAAGUCGGCUAGAUCUUCAGGAAGAUGAGGACGAUCACUUCGUGUGGGAGGAAGGGUUCAAGGAGGAAGAGAUCGUGGCCAAGUGGCUCGCAAUUGCAAAGGUACACACAGACAAAGGAUUCAGUCCCUCGGCUCUAUAUGCGGAUAUGAGGUCUGCAUGGAACCCCGCAAGGGAACCCAGAUGGCGCAAGGUUGAAGAUAACUUGUUUACUAUUCAGUUUGGGUGCCUAGGAGAUUGGAAUGUCUCUUUCGAAAUCAAUGUGUGGUGA